AACGAACGCUGGCGGCAGGCCUAACACAUGCAAGUCGAACGUGAAGCCACCUUCGGGUGGUGGAAAGUGGCAGACGGGUGAGUAACGCGUGGGAACGUGCCUUUCGGUUCGGGAUAACCCAGGGAAACUUGGGCUAAUACCGGAUACGCCCUCCGGGGGAAAGAUUCAUUGCCGAAAGAUCGGCCCGCGUCGGAUUAGCUAGUUGGUGGGGUAAAAGCCUACCAAGGCGACGAUCCGUAGCUGGUCUGAGAGGAUGACCAGCCACACUGGGACUGGGACACGGCCCAGACUCCUACGGGAGGCAGCAGUGGGGAAUAUUGGACAAUGGGCGCAAGCCUGAUCCAGCCAUGCGGCGUGGGUGAAGAAGGCCCUAGGGUUGUAAACCCCUUUCAGCGGGGAAGAUAAUGACGGUACCCGCAGAAGAAGCACCGGCCAACUACGUGCCAGCCGCCGCCGUAACAC
rnacentral:rRNA from 1 species